AUGGCGGAGGUCGCGCCCGUUGAUCAGGGGAAGAAGGAGGAGGAGGAGUUCAGCACGGGGCCCCUCUCCAUUCUCAUGCUCAGCGUCAAGAACAACACUCAGGUGCUUAUCAACUGCAGGAACAACAAGAAGUUGCUUGGUCGCGUGAGGGCAUUUGAUCGUCAUUGCAACAUGGUUCUUGAGAACGUCAGGGAGAUGUGGACUGAGGUUCCAAAGACUGGUAAAGGCAAGAAGAAGGCUCUCCCGGUGAACAAGGACAGGUUCAUAAGCAAGAUGUUCCUCCGCGGGGAUUCGGUCAUCAUCGUCCUCAGGAACCCGAAAUGA
rnacentral:rRNA from 1 species